UACGGGGGGGGCAAGCGUUGUUCGGAAUUACUGGGCGUAAAGGGCUCGUAGGUGGCCAACUAAGUCAGACGUGAAAUCCCUCGGCUUAACCGGGGAACUGCGUCUGAUACUGGAUGGCUUGAGUUUGGGAGAGGGACGCGGAAUUCCAGGUGUAGCGGUGAAAUGCGUAGAUAUCGGGUGGAACACCUGUGGCGAAGGCGGCCAUCUGGACGUCAACUGACGCUGAGACGCGAAAGCGUGGGGAGCAAACAGG
rnacentral:rRNA from 1 species